CGGAAGUGGGGAAGUUAAUAAAGGUGACACAAUUGUACACAGGUGGUGGAGCUAUUAAAGACCAAAUAGAGCCACAUGAAGAAAUCAGCAGGAAAAAAGAGAACAAAUGAAAGUAAUAUCAGACACAUAAAAGCGUAACAUGAAUUUAAUGCUGACCAUGUAGGCUUUGUGUUGUGACCUACAGGCGAAUAGCGUCUACAAAGGGUACCAAAGAGCAGACGACCGUCCAUCCCCCGACUCCCUGGUGUGACAACCCCCAUUAGCUCGUCUGUUUAAAAGAAGAAAAAACCUUCCCCCCAGUCUGCCUGCUUCAUACUCACAGUAGCACAAUAACACGCAUGCAUAGGGCCAUGGGGCAGUGGGAGGUCACAGUGCUGUGUGCUGCAGGAGGACACCAUAUGGUGCAUCCUCCUUCCUCCUUAUCAGGCGGGAGAGUCAGCGAAGCGAGGCCUUGCAGGUUUAGCUGAAGGUUGAUCAGGCUGCCAAACAGCUAGUCGCCGCUGUCGUGACCUGUGGCCCUCGCCGCUGCUGCCUCCUGCGAGCAGCGUCAUGGUAAUUUGACUCUCGGGUCAAUAUGUUGUGGUGGUGAAGGAAGUAUAGAGAUGAUGGAGGCGGGGUGGAGCGUGUUGGAUAAUGGAAGGAGGGAGUGUGAGGGUGGGGGCAUCAAAUGAAACCAUAUGUUUUGCUGCGGUUCUUGUCAGGGCCGCUUGCUGUUUGCGGUCAAAUACAAAACAGGAAGCCGUUUUUCCUUACGGUGUGCCGAUGACAUUCCAGUCAUGUCUGUAUUGGAUCAAUGUUGGGGAAAAUUCCUCUGAUGGGAGAAAUACUUUCCACUAUUUCACUCAUGCUCUCCUUCCUAACGCUCACUAAAUGUUGACACCUUGGACACAAUUUGGACAUGUUCACCAUGAGGUGCACUCACUCGUGUUGCUGUGUUGCCAGUUAUUUACACAGUAAUGGUGUGUGCUGACUCAUUUUAACAGUGGAUAGUA